CGAUUUAUCUCAAUUUUCUUGGCCAAUGACCAAUCAAAUUUGUUUGGAUUCUAAGGCAAAGAGGUAGACAACGUGUAACAGCGAGCUACAGACUUCUUCCCUUCGCUUCGUGUUCAGUCGUCACUCAAUCUAGCAGUUUGAUCCUCAUUGUAGAUGAUUGGAUUGCGGUCUUCAAAAACAGUGACUAAAUGGCAACUGAAUUUUAGGUCUUCUAAUUAUGAUUUUGAAGCUGAACUGAUGACCCUCCACAGUCUACCCCAAGCACAAACAAAUCUGGGAAGUUCUUGCUUUAUUUUUAUAUUAUGUUUUGUUCUUCAUCUAUGUCUUCCGAAGCAGCAGCAUGACACUUCAAGCCUUUGAUCAUGACUAGAUU